AACGAACGCUGGCGGCGUGUCUUAAGCAUGCAAGUCGUGCGGCAAGGGGUAGCAAUACCCCCUAGAGCGGCGGACUGGUGAGUAACGCGUGGGUGAUCUGCCCUUGGGUUGGGGAUAGCCAUUAGAAAUAGUGGGUAAUACCGAAUACGUUCGCCGGGCUGUGGCCUGGCGAGGAAAAGCGCUUCGGCGCUGCCCGAGGAUGAGCCCGCGUCCCAUUAGCUAGUUGGUGAGGUAACGGCCCACCAGGGCGAUGAUGGGCAGCCGGCCUGAGAGGGUGUACGGCCACACUGGGACUGAGAUACGGCCCAGACUCCUACGGGAGGCAGCAGCUAAGAAUAUUCCGCAAUGGACGAAAGUCUGACGGAGCGACGCCGCGUGGACGAUGAAGGCCGAAAGGUUGUAAAGUCCUUUUGUCGGGGAAGAAUAACCAUGGGAGGGAAUGCCCGUGGGAUGACAUGAACCGACGAAUAAGCCCCGGCUAACUACGUGCCAGCAGCCGCCGUAA
rnacentral:rRNA from 1 species